UGACAGAGGAGGAGGUGGAGGAAAUCUUCGCGAUCCUCAGGAAGAUGCACAUGGAGGUAAAUUAUUUCAAGAAGGCUAACGGCGAUAUCGGCAACUUAACGCAACUGGGAAGGUGGAGUCCCUGAAUUUGGAAGGGAACAUUGAUCAGGUAAACGGCGACAAGAAGAAGAAGGAAAACGUGGGUUUGGACUUGAAUGCUGAUCCGGCUGCGCAAGGACCCAACCGGUAUUUAACAGUGAAAAGUAAUGGAGGAUUGAAUGAAAUGCGCAUUGGUGUAUGUUUGCGAAUAUCUAUUUCUUUCGUUCAAAAUGUUCUCAUCUCCUUUCCUUCCCUCAAUUCAUCUUGGCGUUUUCCAGGAAAAAAAACAAAAGACUUCCUUUUUUAUUAAACAUAAGGGACAAUAUAUGUCCUGUUUUGAAAAAACCCAUUACGAAAGCCCAAAAAAAAGUUUGUUUUGCAAUGAAUCAAGUGGGAGGAAAACAAAAAAAUAAUUUGGGAUUUGAAAUAUGGUAUGAAGCAUUUGAGCUGGUAAGUUUAUCUAAUCAUCUUCUUCUUUGUCAUUCAUGUUGUUGCUUAUAUUUUUUAUUAUGUUGUGCUUUAUUAAACUCAUGCAUUUUGAGCAUGUUAGUUUACUAUUUGGACUAUAUGGAAUGCCACGUUUCUCCAAAAGCAUGCGAUCAAUUUUUUUUGUCACCCUAGAUACCUUUUAUAUGAUAAUUUUAUGCUCGCCUUUUCUCAGAAGCUAGGAAAUUUUGCAUUGCAUUCCCUAGAUCUUACUCUCGAGGAUUAAAUUUUGGUAAGUUUUUAUAAUUUUUCAAUUUAUUACUUUCCCAAUUUAAAGUUAGGAUUUUAGUUUGUUAUAAACUUAUAAAGAAGCAUUUGCGUUGUUUGAUUUCGAGUAGAAUGAUUGGGAUAGCAAAGCAUAAGCUUAAGAAUUACUUAAAAUAUAUAAAGAAAGAACAUAAGAAAGAGGCUUUGGAAAAUUGGCAUAAUAAGAUCAUUUCCAUUUCAACAUAGGAAUCUCCUUCAUUUGUGGGUACUGAAGAGAAAAUCUCCUUUGGUGACUUUUGUAGUAUUUAACAUGCAUUAUAUGUAAGUUAUCUAUACUUUAUUUUAAAUUCUUGUUGCUUGGCCAUCCUUUGCAAAAUUCACUAUCUAUACUUUCAAAAGAGAAUUUCAGGAUUCAUAGCUUUUUCAUUUUAUUUGGCCAUAUUUAUUGAGGUUAGUUUUUUUUUAUGCUAGAUGGCUGGAAACUUUAUACAUAUAAAAGCUUCAUGCAUUUAAGCUUAAUGCAUUUCGUAUAUAAAUGAUGAGAUUUUUAGUAAUGCAAGCAUUCUGAUGGUUUUUCAGCCACCCAAUGUUAGUACUUCCUUUUGAGGCUAAAUUCUUGAAACGGAUAGGAGUUUAGAAUUUAUGAAUUUGCUUUGUGAUUGUCCCAUGUUGUAGUCCUCCUUUACCAUUGAUACUUUCCAAUUUCCAUGUUUUAUUUUGAUUUGUUAACUGCAUUUGUGUAUCAUGCAGCAUUGGAGACACCUUUGUGAAUGCAAAUCCAAGAAACUUCGUUUUAUCUAUCCUCAUACUCUAUCAAAGUUUGCUGAUUUAGUUUGCAUAAUGGAUAGACAUGCUUCAAAGGAGAUACCACAACGUGAUUGUUUACAAAGGAAUAUCUCAUGUUCUAACAAAUUGCCUGCUUUCAAAAAGAAGGUUUAAUCAUUUUCUUUUGGAUAUUUGUUCAAGAGUCGUUCCAUUUUAUUUAACAAUGAGUUUGGUUAUACAAUGUGUUUUUCAUUCAAUUAUAAAGUAACAUGAACGGGGAAUUGCUUUAAUUUGAAUAUUAAGCAAUGAUUUGAUAAAUUUGUUGAUUUAAUUUACAAUGGUUCAGGGUUAUGAUUGACUCCAUAUCAUUUUAUUUUUACUUAUGCAGUUUAUCAAUGACAAACUCUGAUGCCUUUUGAACUCUUAUGCAUUUCCUUUUGACAUUUUAUUCUGACAUAUAUCAAUUGUCUCUUAUUUAACUUGGCUCGCGCCCUGAAAAAGGUAAAGUGUUCUCAAACAUUUAACUUAUUUUCUUACAAUAGUUUGUUGCAUAUAUAACCAAACAAAAGCUUGUUAGUACAUCUAGGUAAUUGUUUAAGAUAAAUCCAUAAUUUUUCCUUUUAAUAGUUUGAGAAGUAUUGCUAAGUUAACUUUUAUUACUUUAUGUGUUCAGUUUUUGAAUAAUUGAUCAAUUAGAAUUGCCUCCAAUGUAUGUAUGUUGAACUUUUAGAGACAAUAUAAAUUUACCAUAAUCCAUUAAUGAUUUUUUUCUGCUUAAGGAUUGUUUCAUUUGCCUUUCAUAAUAAUUUUUUAUUGAUCCGAUGAUAUAGAAUGGUACCAAAAUCUUUUGCUACUCUUAUUUCCACAUAAAAAUAGGGAAAGAAGGAACACAUGUUUGGUUUUAAUGGCUCCCUUGCAUUGACAACUUUCUUGAUUAUAUUUUUUGUUUAUUAGAAAGCUUAAGAGAUUUCUUAUUAUGACCCACGGGGAUUGAGAAUAUACUGCAGUUAAUUCAUGGUAGUAUAAAGGCUAUAACUUUUGGGUGAGAAGUCAACAUCUUUUCUGUGAAAUUUUUUUGACACUAUUUUUGAUACUUUUCCUUACUUUGAAGGUAACUCAUGUAUAUGUUUUGCUUCUUACAAGAAAAAAAAUAGAAGUUUUAAGUGUUAGAUACAUGUGAAUGUUAGGGAUUGCAUCAGUGGCACUUUGCAUAGACCAUUGCCAUGCUGCAGAAUUAAUAAGUAAUGAUGCUUGGUUCAAAAUUGUAGUUUUGUUAGAGAGAAGUGCAUUUUUAUCAUGAUAUGCAUGUAGAAUAUGUAUUAUAAAUCUUUAUCAUUCCUUUUUAUUCUCAUUUUGAGUUAAGAAGCCAGAAUGAUGUAUCUAACUUUGUUAUGUUUAAACUGUUCCUAAAAGGGUUAGAUUUCCUCUUCUCUAUCCAAUGGAAUAAAAGUCAUUCCUCCAACUCAUGAUGCACAUACAACAUGGUUUAGGGCAAAGUUUAUUAGCAAUUUAUGGAUGCUGAUUCCGUUGGCACCAUGGAGCACUCAAGUAUCUCAAAAAGAGUGGACAUGGAAGGAACUCACUGGGGGUGGAUUAAUUUUGAACAUUACGCAGCUGCGUGUUAUCAAAUACCUGUCUCUGCAGCCAAGGUUGGAGGACUUUGGUUGAGCCAGCCGACAAGAGAUGUAGAGACAAAGCUCUUGUAGUUCCAACCACCCUGAUGGAAUGAUCAUCUAAGUGGUUCAACAUAUAGAUGAAACUAUAGUUUCAUAUCUGAACAUUUCGCCCUUCAACAACUACUACAAGUAAUUUGAGGGAUAGGAUGUCAACUGUACACUUUGAGAAUGGGCAAUCAUGGCAUUUUCCACAAUCAUAUGAUAGAAAGCAUACAACACGUGACAUGAAGAUGUAGCUAAUGAACUGCAUCCGUGAAUUAGCAGUUUCUACAAAACCAAAAAGGGCAACAAAAGAGAUCGAAAGCAGAGUAUAGAGGAUCAAGGACACAACAAACAAGUUGGUUAAAGGGCUGAACUGAAUUAUGACUUAUUCUAAGAGAUGAUGUCAAGAAUGUUAAAGAUUAUCACUGCAACAAAUCAACAAAACUAUCUGACAUUAAUUCAACUAAAAUAUGGAAUGGUGUAUGUUAU